CAGUAGCCACGGGAAUACGGAGGGGGCUAGCGUUGUUCGGAAUUACUGGGCGUAAAGCGCACGUAGGCGGCUUUGUAAGUUAGAGGUGAAAGCCCGGAGCUCAACUCCGGAAUUGCCUUUAAGACUGCAGAGCUAGCAGGUGAGAGAGGUGAGUGGAAUUCCGAGUGUAGAGGUGAAAUUCGUAGAUAUUCGGAAGAACACCAGUGGCGAAGGCGGCUCACUGGCUCAUACUGGACGCUGAGGUGCGAAAGCGUGGGGAGCAAACAGGAUUAGAUACCCGCGUAGUCCCUGUCUCUUAUAC
rnacentral:rRNA from 1 species